GGGAAACCCUGGUGGAGGCCCGCAGCGGUUCUGACGUGCAAAUCGAUCGUCUGAUUUGGGUAUAGGGGCGAAAGACUAAUCGAACUGUCUAGUAGCUGGUUCCCUCCGAAGUUUCCCUCAGGAUAGCCGGAACCCGAGGUGCGCGUGCAGUUUUAUCUGGUAAAGCGAAUGACUAGAGGUCUCGGGGUCGAAACGACCUCGACCUAUUCUCAAACUUUAAAUGGGUAAGACGGCGGACUUGCCCGACUCGAAGUCCGUCUUGGAAUGCGAGGGUUCCGAGUGGGCCAUUUUUGGUAAGCAGAACUGGCGAUGCGGGAUGAACCGAAAGCUGGGUUAAGGCGCCAAAGUGGACGCUCAUCAGAUCCCAGGAAAGGCGUCGGUCGAUCCAGACAGCAGGACGGUGGCCAUAAAAGUCGGAACCCGCCAAGGAGUGUGUAACUACUCACCUGCCGAAUCGACCGGCCCUGAAAAUGGAUGGCGCUGAAGCGUCCCGCCGAACCCUGGCCGUCGCGGGCAAGUCGGCUGCCCCGACGUGUAGGAGGGCGCGACGGUGGCGCCGAAGUUGGGCGCGCAAGCUCCGAUUGAGCCGCCGUUGGUGCAGAUCUUGGUGGUAGUAGCAACUAUUCAAGUGAGAACUUUGAAGACUGAAGUGGGGAAGGGUUCCAUGUGAACGGCACUCGGUCAUGGGUGAGUCGGUCCUGAGGGAGGGGUCCAAUCCCUUUCGAGGGCGCAGGUCCCGUCUGCGGACGACUUGCGCCUCGUCCCGAAAGGGAAUCGGGUCAACAUUCCCGAACCGGGACGCAGCGUUGGCGGACGGUCCCCGCGGCCGCCCGCCUUGGCGGUGACGCGUGCGAGCUCGGAGAUGCCGGCGUGGGUUCCGGGAAGAGUUCUCUUUUCUUCUCAACGGGCGUGCGACCCUGGAAUGGGAUUGGCCCGAGAUAGGGUGGGCCGCCCGGCCAAGCGUCGCGCCUCUGGCGGCGUCCGGUGCACUCGCGAAGGUCCGUGAAAAUCCGAGGGAGCG
rnacentral:rRNA from 1 species